rnacentral:rRNA from 1 species
UACGUAGGGGGCAAGCGUUGUCCGGAUUUAUUGGGCGUAAAGAGCGUGUAGGCGGCCAAACAGGUCAGCUGUGAAAACUAGAGGCUCAACCUCUAGACGUCGACGGAAACCGUGUGGCUAGAGUCCGGAAGAGGAGAGUGGAAUUCCUGGUGUAGCGGUGAAAUGCGCAGAUAUCAGGAAGAACACCAAUGGCGAAGGCAGCUCUCUGGGACGGUACUGACGCUGAGACGCGAAAGCGUGGGGAGCGAACAGG